GAGUAAUGUCUGGGAAACUGCCUGAUGGAGGGGGAUAACUACUGGAAACGGUGGCUAAUACCGCAUAACGUCGCAAGACCAAAGAGGGGGACCUUCGGGCCUCUUGCCAUCAGAUGUGCCCAGAUGGGAUUAGCUUGUUGGUGAGGUAACGGCUCACCAAGGCGACGAUCCCUAGCUGGUCUGAGAGGAUGACCAGCCACACUGGAACUGAGACACGGUCCAGACUCCUACGGGAGGCAGCAGUGGGGAAUAUUGCACAAUGGGCGCAAGCCUGAUGCAGCCAUGCCGCGUGUAUGAAGAAGGCCUUCGGGUUGUAAAGUACUUUCAGCGGGGAGGAAGGUGUUGUGGUUAAUAACCGCAGCAAUUGACGUUACCCGCAGAAGAAGCACCGGCUAACUCCGUGCCAGCAGCCGCGGUAAUACGGAGGGUGCAAGCGUUAAUCGGAAUUACUGGGCGUAAAGCGCACGCAGGCGGUCUGUCAAGUCGGAUGUGAAAUCCCCGGGCUCAACCUGGGAACUGCAUUCGAAACUGGCAGGCUUGAGUCUUGUAGAGGGGGGUAGAAUUCCAGGUGUAGCGGUGAAAUGCGUAGAGAUCUGGAGGAAUACCGGUGGCGAAGGCGGCCCCCUGGACAAAGACUGACGCUCAGGUGCGAAAGCGUGGGGAGCAAACAGGAUUAGAUACC
rnacentral:rRNA from 2 species